GCCACUGGCACAGGGUGGCAGGGGUGCAGAGGUGAAAGAACGUUGCUGUGCUUUCUGCAAGUUCCCAGUCCAGUGGUGGAAAGACAAUUCCAGGAUUCUGUGGUGAGUUCUGUGCUGUGCUUGAGGUUACAGAUACUGUUGAACUUGGAAACAGAAAUCUAAUUGCUCCUCAGUCUUCUGGUCUUCAGGCAAAAUAGCACCAUUUCCUUUAACCUUUCAUCAAAAUCACAUCAGCAUAAUUUCCUCAAACAGACCCCAUGGCCAACUUCAGCGCCGAUGAGAUGUAACCGCACUGCUGGGUAUACUCAACCUCAGGGACAUGGAGCCAACCGCAGCCCCAUGAGUUCUGACUGAGCUUGAGGACUUUUGCCAAGAGAAAUUCCUAAGACUGAUUGAAUGCUCAAAUCUCAAGGCAGCCCUUCAAGAUUCCUGCCACUGAAGAUUAUGUUUGCAGACCAAUCAGCAAAAUGCAGAAUGAGAUUAUCCUGUUGGUGGUUUGGAUAAGGAAAAACACAUUCUUGACUGUGUAGAUGAAAGUUGAGAAAACAGUCGAGCAGGGUGUUUCCCAUCUGAAUUCUCUGGAUCCUAUAAUUAAGAAUACCUGGGACUUUUGGAAUGUUAGACAUAAGCGAACAGAUGCAAGCAUUUUGUGCAGUAGUGGGGGGAGCAUCCCACAUUUUUCCAAUUAUUUAGCAAAGCGUAGCUCUUGGCCUCUUUGUAUGAGCGUGAUAAUCAAAGCAGGCACUCUGCUCCUUUAUGCCAUUAGAGCAGUUGUCGAUGAGGACAUGCUAUCUGGUGCUAAGACAACGGCUGGCAUUUAGUUCCCAAGGAUCAAGGAGAAGGCAACCUAACCUGAACCUCCUGAUCUAAACAACCAGGACUGUUGUUUCCCAAAACCAGGGGCCCUCUUCCUAAAGUAAAGCCUACUGGGCCUCCUCCACCUGUGAAUUUGCCUUAAAGAAGGCUGUAGGACCGAAGUCUCCACCCCUAUGGGCAGCGUUAUUGAAUAGGCUUCUAAAAAGCAAGUCAAUGAAUAAAUAAAUGCUUAACACCAUCUAUUUGAAUUACAGGCAUAUCCACAUGUACAUAUUCAUCGUAUUGGAUCCCAUGUGCCCUGUUUGCCCUGUGUGUUCAUUUGGACAUGUGUGUGCUGUAUUUGUACAUCCAUGCCUGCAUGAAUCCAUGUAUCAGAUAUAAAAGCGAUUUGCCUGUGGAAGAAAGGCACAUGGAAGGCGGCCGGAGCAAAUCAGGAGAGCUGCCAGGGUCGAUCCUUUGCAUAGGCCUCAGCUCUCUCUGAGUCCUGCCUCAACUCCCCAUCGCCAAACCAGGUAGCACAUAGCCUCACCCUGAUUAUGGGCCCCUGUUGGGGUUCCCAUGGGAACACUAUUUUAUGGAGCCUUCACAUUUGCCAUUUACAGGUAAGAAAACAGAUGCAACGAGAAAUGAGAAAUUUUAUAGGUUGGGAUUUAAACACAGGAGUGUGUGUAUAUAUAUACACACACACACUUACACACACUCACACUCAUAGCUCUGAUAGUAUCACACUGUGCUCUAACAACACUGGUGCAUCUUUUUGGAUCCUCAAACAAGCCAGACCCUAAUGCUCCUCCACCCGCUUUUCAUGGGGCUCCUUCUCAUCUUGCUGACUUGAAUAUCACUAUUCAGAGAGGCCUUCCAUGACCAUAUUAUUCAGAUUCUCUUGUUUGCUUCCUCCAAAUUUAUCUUAAUUUGUAAUUAUCUUAGAUUCGUCUGUUUGGUCCAUUUGUGCACUGUUUGAACCUCUCUCUCCCAUGAGAAGGCAAGCUCCUGACAUCUGAGGUCCGGGCUCUCAUCUUCCUCUGUAGCCCCAGCCCCCGCACAGGAUGUUUAAUGCCUGGCUGCCCAGGAAACCCCACCUCACCAUCUCGCCCAGUCCGGGGCGCUCUCUAAUUGCUGCCCUGAUGGUCCUGUCUCUCUGCCUGUGUCAUUGCUGCUCUGUGGUCUGUCCCAUCUGUGUGUUGCUACUCAGUAAGAGAUGCUCUGAUACAAACUCCCUGGCUAAAGUGUUGCUGGGGAAUGGUGGUUUCAUUCCUUCAUUCCCUCCCUCCCUCACCCCUACAAAGUACUGAAAGCCUCUCCUGAGACAAGCACAGUGGGGGACAUGAAAGACACUGAUAUGAAUGGCGCAUGGUGUGUGCCUGUCCUCAAUAAGUUCACGGGCUGAUGGGGGAGAUGGACAGAGAGCAGACAAAGCACUCUGAUAGAUGCAGCCACAGGGUACUGUGUAGGCCUGAAGGAUGGUCUCCUAACCUGGUCAGCGUGGGCAGGGAAGGCUCCCUGGAGGAGGGGUGCCCAGGAGGAUCUUGAAGGAUGAGUAGGAGUUAGUCAGCUAAAGUGGGGCUGGCCUGGAGGGUAGAAUGCAGAGUGACUGGGGGAGGGAGCUCCAUGUGCAAAGGUGAUGUGGGGGCUAAGUGGUUUGGUGUGGUGUAUAAACUCAAGAGAGGGCCAGGGGCAAAGGAUGGUCCUGGGAAGGCAGCAUGCAUCCCGAGAUGGAUUAAGCAAUUUGGAAUUCAUCCUGAUCACUGUGGGAAUUCGCAGAAGGGUUUUAACAGGAGAGCGACAUGAUCAGAUUUGUUUUUAAAAAGAUCACUCUGGGGGCUGGCCAGGGGCCCCAGUGGUUAAGUUUGCAUGCUCCACUUCAGCAGCCCAGGGUUUCACUGGUUUGGAUCUUGGAUGCGGACAUGGCACCGCUCAUCAUGCCAUGCUGAGGCAGCGUGCCCCAUAGCACAACCAGAGACACUUGCAACUAGAAUACACAACUAUGUACUGGGGGGUUUUGGGGAGAAGAAGAAGGAGAAGAAAAAAAGAGGACUGGCAACAGAUGUUAGCUCAGGUGCCAAUCUUUAAAAAAAUAAAUACAUAAAAAUAUCACUCUGGUCCACAAGGUGGGAGGGCACUGACGGCUUGUCCAGUGCUCAUUCAUUAUUUCACUCAUUCGCCCACGCAACAAUCUUUAUUUCGUACCUACCAUAAGACAGGCACUGUGUAGGCACUGGGGGUGAACAACGAUGAGCAAAACAGAGUCUCUGACUCUUAAAUCUUCCAGUCUUGUGGGGAAGACAAAUAUGGCACCAGAAAUAAAUAGAGGAGUACAAGUUACGAUAAUGCCUCUGAAGGGGAAGGACAAGGAGAUGUGGGAGCAUUUGACAGGCUCCAGGAGGCUGCAAGGAGACAGGGGAGCUUGUGUUGACUCAGAGAGGAUAAGGUGUUCAUUGGCCCUGCAUAAUCUCCCAGUGGAAAGUUGUCUGGCUUUGAACAAAGGUGGUGGCAGUGGGGCAGUGGGCUUGAGGGCAGAAGGUAGGCUAGACAGAUCUUAGGGAGGUAGAAUCAAUAGGACUUGAAGACGUUGCCAGAGGGGACAGGGGAGAUGGGCGGAGGGGGAGAGAAACAAGUCGGGAAUGGUCCAGGUAUCUGGCCUGGGCACUCUGUGAGGGUGAUGCCAUCACUGGAAUGUCAAACACAGGAAGAGGCAAUGACUGGACUUGUCACAUCUUCUAAGCACUCCUCUUGCAGACUUCAUCUCAUACAGAUCUCGUCACAACCUUAUUUGGUAUCCCCCAUCUGUGGAGUGCCUACUAUCUGUCAAGUACUAUACUAAUUGCUUUGUGUCAAUCCUUAUAAUAGUCAAAUGAGGCAGGGGCUCUUCUCAUAUCAAGGUUCAGAGAGGCUAAGUAACAUUGUUGAGGCCAUACAGCUCAUCACUUACAGUGUCUGGAUUUGAACCCAUAUCUACCACUCUCUUGAGUGUGCGGCUGUCGCCACUCUGGCAUGCUGAGUGUGGGGUAUCUACAAGAUAUGUAUUGCCCCCUCACAUGAGCAUUUCAUUCAAACUGUCAGUGCCUUGACUCAGAAGCCAUCCUCUAGCGCUAACAUCUAAUAGCAGCUGAGCACUGGCGAGCUCUCUGUCAACCCUUUAUGGGCAUCAUUUGAUUAAACACUCAAGUUCUGGUUGAGCCAGUAGGAACUUGCUAAGGGUGAAAUGCAGCCGCUGCUGGAGAAGAAAGUGCAACUGUCCUACCAAUUCCCGGGCCAUGUGGGGAGUGCCAGCCCCUUCGGGAGGCCAUUGGCCUCCAGGAGUCCCCCAGGUGUGAGCAUAAUAGGGAAGGGACGGAGGCUCAUGUGUGCUAGGAGCCUCCGCGGCCCUCCAUUCGGCGUCUUACCUCUCCUCAUCCCCGCUGUCGUCUAGGAGUCCCUCUGAGGUUCUGGAGUCAUUUCACAGCUAAGGAAGCUCCAGCACAGACCAGCUAAGUUCUUAUUAAAGCUCUGUGACUAAUGAGUGCCUAGGAAGUGAGGAUUUGAAUCCAGGCCUGUCUGGCUCCCCUACACAACUGGAAAUGAUGUGGCAAGAGGGGUGGGAGGAACUAGGAGAGUUGAGUUUGGAAAGGAAGGUCAUGAGGCUUUUUGGGUGAAAGAGAAAGUAGAGGCCUCCCCGCUGAGACUCUAACAGGCAGAAUUAGGAGUAAGAGCAGAACGCAGAUUCAAUCAGCAAACGCUAACCCUGCCAUGUGCCAGGCCCUGUGCCUGGUGCUGGAAUAUCAGAAACGAAAACACUGUCCUUGGCCUCUUGCAGCUCACAGCCUGGGCGAACAGACGGACACGAGGCCAGGUGCUUCUUGCAGGGGCCCCAUGAGCUCAGUGCAGCAGCAGGCGAUGGACAGAGGGAAGAUGGCCCGAUUUCUCAUGACUGGGCAUGCCAGGGAGCACUGGGGACAGACCAUCUCCUUUGAACAGGGCUUCCGUGAACAAGGAGGGUCCUGACAGAUAGAGAGAGGGAGGAAGGCCAUUGUAGGGAGCAGGGACAGCAGGAGCGAGGACACCGAGGGAGGAGACCGUACAAGGCAUUUGGAAAGGCUCUUUAAGAUGGUGCUGAUAGGGUGACUGUGGCUGAAGUUCAAGGUCUGCUACUAGAAGAAAAAUCCCAACCCCCACCCAUCACAAAGAACUCACCUUGCUCUCUGGAUAUGCACAGCCCCGGUGCUGCAAUCUUAAACAGGAGCCUGAGGUGACAACCGUCCCAGAGGGAUUUGAUCGUAUCUCAGACCAGUGAGGACUGUCAGCUGAGUGAGGUGACAACUGAGUCAGGACGGGAAGGGGAACGUGGGGAAUCAGAUGUCGCAGGAGUGCCCUGGGAAUCCCAGCCCAUUUGGCCUUAGCCGGAUGUGACAGGAGUAAAAUGAAUGAUACCCCAACAUUUUCUUUUUGAUGACUAUCUUGCCUUGCGUAUUUAUGGAGAAACAAGCACUAACAUGUUUUGGCAUUUUUUCAAAUAUUUGACUCUUGAUUGCAAAAAACUGUAACAGGCCUCUUAACUUCUUAGUUAACUUCCUUAGUCAGGAAGAAUGGAGUUUGUUAGAAUUAUUAUUAUUUUUUACCAUCCCCUUCCAAUCUGACUCUAGUGUUUUUCAAAUAGUCGAAGAAAGACAAAAAAAUUAAAGAAAGGCAAUUGCUGGUCUUUAAAUUGAAGUGCAUGGAAGAAUGUCUUGGGAGAAACAGCAUUUAAGAGGUGAAAGAUUACCAUAUAUUUAAGUGUUUGAGCCCAUCCAUCUUUUAGGGCAGAAGUCUUUAAUCAGGACCAAUGAUUAUAGGGAUAACGUCAAGAUAAAAAUCAUACGCAUCCUAGUAUUUAAAAAAAUUCUCUGCCUUGAGUCACUAAUGGUAGCUUAGAUUAUUAGCACAGAGAUCAUUCUCAAGGUCUAAUGGGCCCUUGCUUGGUCCACUCUCUGCCAGACCUUGGGCACUGGGCAUACUUUUGUUAUUCCACCUUCAGCUUGGCGUCUGUCUGUGUCUCCACAGGCACGUUAACGCGGAAGCAAUCGGCUGAAUUCGUCCUUAGAAGUGACUAUUGCCAAGAGAUUAAUUACAUGCUGGUCAUUUUCCAGAUAACCGGUUGGUUGACUAAAGUCAGAAGUUGGAGCAAAGUGGAUUGAGUGUGUGGCUCUAAUUUCAGUUUUCCUUUUGGGGUUGCUGUUGGGUGAGCUCUUGCUCUUAUAGUCAUAUAUCCUAGAUUUUAGCGUCUGUGGCCCCUUGCUGUUUACAAAAUGCUUUCCCAUUCUUGCACUCAUUUGUUUAAUGGACAUUUGUUAAGCGCUUAUUAUGUAGAGGCUCUGUGCUGGGUGCCGGGAUACAGAAGUGACCAAGAGAUGUAAUCCCUUCCUAACAAAGCUUACAGUGCGAGCAUUCCUUCAUUCAGGCUUCAUUCCCACAUCCAGCAAAGGUUUGCAGGGUAUCUCUCAUGAACGCCGUUGAUCCCAGUGCCGAGGCUGCAGGUGAGCAAAGUUCCUGCUCUCAGGCUGCUCGCGUUCUGGAAAGAGCUAUAGAAGACCAACUACAGAAGAUGUCGGGUUGCGAUGAGAGCUAUGAAGAAAACUGGGAAUAUAGACGUUUUUAAUGAAAGAAUCGCAUUUCUUAUCUCUUUUUGAAACUCCCACAUCUGUAAUGUCAUUAUAACAGCAGGGUUGAGGUGAAGAUCACAUAAGGAAACACCCGCCAGCAUCCAUGAAAGUGCCCUGGGCAGAUGCCUACGAGGAAGGAAAUGGUCAUGGUGUCGUGGGAAGAACACACACUGGGGUUUGGGGGGAGGGAUGGGAGACCCUGCUGAGGGACUUUCUUCUCCAAACCUGUCUGCUCACGUCACUAUGGAGCCAGCAAGGGCAGACAGCCACGUGGCCGAGGAAUGGGGGCAGCAGCACUUCCAUCAUAAGACAGAAGACGGAAUGAAAUGGUGAUGUCAGGGCCGAGCUCUGCGCCCACCUGUGUUUCCUACGCUCCGGGCGUUCGCGAGCACCUGCAUCACAUUUGCCACAUCAGCAUUUGAAAUACUUUCAUUCACAUUUGUACUUUAGCCACAUCUAUACAAUAAGGGCCACAAAAUCACAGAGUUUAUUUCAUGCAUAUCUCAAUAUAUGUAAUCAUUCAAUAUUAAUGAUUAAAUUUUAACAUUUUUGAAUGAAUUCAAUGAACAACUAUGUAAUUAUUAAAAUACGUAAUUCCUGAAAUCCUCAUAAGCACCCCCAGAGCCACGUGGGCGACUGUCAGGUGAGCUCAUCGGAGGUCCCCAUCCCUGUCCUUCCGUGAUCCUCCCUCUGCAGCGCAUUUCCCUGGAGCUUCCUUUGUCCUUUCAAAGAUGUCAUCUCAUUUGAGCUUUAUGAUACUC
rnacentral:lncRNA from 1 species